rnacentral:rRNA from 1 species
UACGUAGGGGGCAAGCGUUGUCCGGAAUUACUGGGUGUAAAGGGUUCGUAGGCGGUGUGGCAAGUCGGGAGUGAAAUCUCUGGGCUCAACUCAGAGACUGCUUCCGAAACUGCUGUGCUGGAGUGUGGGAGAGGCGCGUGGAAUUGCAGGUGUAGCGGUGAAAUGCGUAGAUAUCUGCAGGAACACCCGUGGCGAAAGCGGCGCGCUGGACCACUACUGACGCUGAGGAACGAAAGCUAGGGGAGCAAACAGG